GGUGUCCUAACUUAUAUAUCUUGGCACGAAUGCUCGUCGCAGCUGGGCGGGAAAACCCAUAUAAACAGUGCAACACACGCGAAGAGAUUUCAUUGCGGACUCAAAGCCAAAGGAUAUAUGCUAAUGCGAUACAUAUACUAACGGGUGCGAUCAUACCAGCACUAAUGCACCGGAUUCCAUCAGAACCCCGCAGUUAAGCAUGCUUGGGCGAGAGUAGUCCUAGGAUGGGUGACCUCCCGGGAAGUCCUCGUGUUGCACCCCUUUUUUGUUCCUCUUGAUUUUUUUUGUUUUUUUUUUUGGUCUUUUCAUUUUAAAAACAAUGCAUCUUCCGAACGACGCUAUUUCAAGACCGUGUGGAACCAGGCCUCCUACAGCAACUUUUCGGAAAGCCCCAAGAGUGCUCUCGGACUUGCCCAAGGGUCUAAAGACCAUGGGUGUGGUUUACGAGGCCAAAAUUUUGAGUUUUAGACCCUCUUCCAGGCGUUUUUCUAAAACAUAAGCCCCGGUUUUAGUGUCGUCAAACGUGGUGUCCUAACUUAUAUAUCUUGGCACGAAUGCUCGUCGCAGCUGGGCGGGAAAACCCAUAUAAACAGUGCAACACACGCGAAGAGAUUUCAUUGCGGACUCAAAGGCAAAGGAUAAAUGCUAAUGCGAUACAUAUACUGAUGGGUGCGAUCAUACCAGCACUAAUGCACCGAAUCCCAUCAGAACACCGCAGUUAAGCGUGCUUGGGCGAGAGUAGUACUAGGAUGGGUGACCUCCCGGGAAGUCCUCGUGUUGCACCCCUUUUUUGUUCCUCUUGAUUUUUUUGUUUUUUUUGUUUUUGGUCUUUUCAUUUGAAAAACAAGGCAUCUUCCGAAGGACGCUAUUUCUAGACCGUGUGGAACCACACCUCCUACAACAACUUUUCGGAAAGCCCCUAGAGUGCUCUCGGGCUUGCCCAAGCGUCUAAAGACCAAGGGUGCGGUUUACGAGGCCAAAAUUUUGAGUUUUAGACCCUCUUCCGGGCGUUUUUCUAAAACAUAAAUCUUGGUUUUAGUGUCGUCAAACGUGGUGUCCUAACUUAUAUAUCUUGGCACGAAUGCUCGUCGCAGCUGGGCGGGAAAACCCAUAUAAACAGUGCAACACACGCGAAGAGAUUUCAUUGCGGACUCAGAGCCAAAGGAUAUAUGCUAAUGCGAUACAUAUACUAAUGGGUGGGAUCAUACCAGCACUAAUGCACCGAAUCCCAUCAGAACACCGCAGUUAAGCGUGCUUGGGCAAGAGUACUACUAGGAUGGGUGACCUCUCGGGAAGUCCUCGUGUUGCACUCCUUUUUUGUUCCUCUUGAUUUUUUUGGUUUUUUUUUUUUUGGUCUUUCAUUGAAAAACAAGGCAUCUUCCGAAAGACGCUAUUUCUAGACUGUGUGGAACCACACCUCCUACAACAACUUUUCGGAAAGCCCCUAGAGUGCUCUCGGGCUUGCCCAAGAGUCUAAAGACCAAGGGUGCGGUUUACGAGGCCAAAAUUAGAGUUUUAGACCCU
rnacentral:lncRNA from 1 species